UCCAGUCCUCUCCUCACAGUGUGGAAACACUCUUUCCUUCAAAACCUUCAUUUGUACCAGCAGGAAACUCUCACCCGGAGUCAAUGUAAAGUCGUGACCUAAAUAAAUUGUCAUGUUCCCAAACCUUUUCUCCAGGGGACAAUGCAAACAAGUUUUUCACUGAGUCUGACCCUCACAGAUUUUCUUCAUGUAUACAAAUUACAGCCUGACUCAGCGACCCCAUGAAUGCUAAAACCAAAACACUGUCCAGGAAAUGGCCCCAGGCGCCAAAGGCUCCAGACUGGUCUCAGGCUCUCCUGCCCACUGCAGUUUAUUCACUUGCUUCUCACCAACACUGAUCCACUUAGGUAAGAAAAAAGACCUUCAAUCCCCUUUGCUGUUUGUUUGUUUUUAAGAAACUAGCAGAGUUCCUGCUUUCCUUCUGUGGUUAUGUAUAAGCUGGAAGACAAAAAAUUCUAAAAUACUUUAUAUGGAUUUUAAAACUGGCAAGUAAUGAUUCCUUUGAGAAAACAAAGAUAUCAGCUAUGCUAUUAUGAUUUAUACACUCUAAUGUGAUCGUGGGUCAUAAGACUCUCACUCCAAAGAGUGUCCUGUCCUGUACGCUGGGGAAAGGAAUGCUACACAGAAGCCAAAAAUUAUCUGGACAGGGGUUGGAUGCAGUGGUUCACGCCUGUAAUCC
rnacentral:lncRNA from 10 species